UACGAGGAGAGCAAGCGUUAUCCGGAUUUAUUGGGCGUAAAGCGUGCGCAAGCGGUUUUAUAAGUGAGAUGUUAAAUACCAAGGCUCAACCUUGGAAUCGCACCUCAUACUGUAAGACUAGAGUCAAUGAGAGGCAAACGGAAUUGCUGGUGUAGUAGUGAAAUGCGUUGAUAUCAGCAGGAACACCAAAAGCGAAAGCAGUUUGCUGGCAUUGUACUGACGCCGUUGCACGACAGCGUGGGGAGCAAACGGG
rnacentral:rRNA from 1 species